GAUGAACGCUGGCGGCGUGCCUAAUACAUGCAAGUCGAGCGAAUGGAUUAAGAGCUUGCUCUUAUGAAGUUAGCGGCGGACGGGUGAGUAACACGUGGGUAACCUGCCCAUAAGACUGGGAUAACUCCGGGAAACCGGGGCUAAUACCGGAUAACAUUUUGAACCGCAUGGUUCGAAAUUGAAAGGCGGCUUCGGCUGUCACUUAUGGAUGGACCCGCGUCGCAUUAGCUAGUUGGUGAGGUAACGGCUCACCAAGGCAACGAUGCGUAGCCGACCUGAGAGGGUGAUCGGCCACCCUGGGACUGAGACACGGCCCAGCCUCCUACGGGGGGCAGCAGUAGGGAAUCGUCCGCAAUGGACGAAAGUCUGACGGAGCAACGCCGCGUGAGUGAUGAAGGCUUUCGGGUCGUAAAACUCUUUUGUUAGGGAAGAACAAGUGCUAGUUGAAUAAGCUGGCACCUUGACGGUACCUAACCAGAAAGCCACGGCUAACUACGUGCCAGCCGCCGCAGUAA
rnacentral:rRNA from 1 species